rnacentral:lncRNA from 1 species
AGAAGGAAAGUAUAAGUAAAUUAGGUGAACACAGAAUAAUAUAAUUGUCAGAUCUUUGGGAAAGGAAAGAUUUUAAGACCAAGCAAAAGUUAGAAAAAAAUUACAAAAUGGGAAAUAAAUAAUUUUAAUUAUAUUAAAUUAAAAAAGUUUUUGUACAGGAGGGCAGAAUCAAGAUGGCAGCCUAGAAGGAGCAGAACAUCAGACUUCUGAAUACCUUUCCUUACUGAUCACAAAGAGAAUGCUCCUAGGGUACUGAAAAUCAAGCCUAACAACAAGACAGAGCCAAGGAACCCUCUGGCUGGACUCAAUUCAAAAGGAGUUGGCUCUCUGAACUUAGUUGGAGUUUGGAGUUAGUUGGAGGAGCUGGGUCUCUGAACUCAAUUCAGGAGUUGAAGAUUUCAGUGAAGGACUUCAGUUUUGCUUGGGACAAAUCUUGUGAGACUACUAUAGAUUGGCUUGAGAAGGACAACCAAGAUGGGGAAGAAACCUGAAACUAUGCAGUACAAGAUUGGAGAUUUUUAAUCUGCAGAAAAGAAGGCUUUUUGGAUAUAUGAUAACUGCUUUCAAAUAUUUGAAGUGACAUGAUGUGGAAGAUGAGUUGUUAGUUUUGUUUAGCUCAAAAAGUCAGAAAGAGAGCUAAAAAGAGGAAACCCCAAAGGGUUAUAGAUUUUAGUUCAACAAAUAGAAUACUUCUUAACAAUUUGAUCUGUUAAAAAAUUAACCAAGUUACUUUGAGUUAUGGUUAGCUUCCUAGAAUUUGAUCUCCUUAAGUGAAAACUUGAUUAUUACUUGCUAUGAAUGUUGAAGAGAGGUAUAGUUGAACCAGAUAAACCAUGAAAUCUCUCCCAGAUCUAAAAAUUUACAAUGAAAUCAGGUCCAUUUGUUGUUGUUGUUGUUGUUUUUAAUUUUCCCAGAACCAGAUGUACUGAAUAACAAAUUUUCAGAGUUGAAAAAAAAAAAACAAAAUUGCCAUCUAGGGCAACCCAUAC